rnacentral:tRNA from 1 species
UCCGGGAUGGUGUAAUUGGCAACACGCGACACUCUGGAUGUCGAAUUUGGGGUUCGAGUCCCUGUCCCGGAGCUA